rnacentral:rRNA from 1 species
UCUUGACGUUAGCAACAGAAGAAGCACCGGCUAACUCCGUGCCAGCAGCCGCGGUAAUACGGAGGGUGCGAGCGUUAAUCGGAAUUACUGGGCGUAAAGCGCAUGCAGGUGGUUCAUUAAGUCAGAUGUGAAAGCCCGGGGCUCAACCUCGGAACUGCAUUUGAAACUGGUGAACUAGAGUGCUGUAGAGGGGGGUAGAAUUUCAGGUGUAGCGGUGAAAUGCGUAGAGAUCUGAAGGAAUACCAGUGGCGAAGGCGGCCCCCUGGACAGACACUGACACUCAGAUGCGAAAGCGUGGGGAGCAAACAGGAUUAGAUACCCUGGUAGUCCACGCCGUAAACGAUGUCUACUUGGAGGUUGUGGCCUUGAGCCGUGGCUUUCGGAGCUAACGCGUUAAGUAGACCGCCUGGGGAGUACGGUCGCAAGAUUAAAACUCAAAUGAAUUGACGGGGGCCCGCACAAGCGGUGGAGCAUGUGGUUUAAUUCGAUGC